GGGGAGCGAGGGAGAGGAGAGAGACGGAGACAGAGACACAGACACUAUAUUAGUCUUCUCUGGCUGCCGUAACAAAAUACCACAGACUGGUGGCUUGAACAGCAGAAACUUCCUUCUUACAGCUCUGGAGGCUGCGAGUCCAAGCAAGGUGGGCAUACAGGCAUGACAGCAAGCAGCUGCUGCUGAAAACGAGACAUGUGGUCUGCUGUAAGCCGGGACCUCACCCUUCCUGAUGGCUGCCACAGCCCAGAGGCUAAGUUUUACUUUAUUAUAUUUGCUCCACGUGAACUGGGAUCUUGCUCAUCUUGCUGGCUGCUGUAUCCUUAAUGCCUGAAAGAGUGCUGACUGCACAGGAAACAUUUACUUCACAUUUGCUGAAUGAAUAAUGGUGAAUAGUCACACAUAAAGUACUCACAUGUGAAUGUUUGUCUUCCCUGUUCUGGGAGUUUCCACCCCAGUCCCCAGUAUCUUGCCUUCAACAUGAAUACAUGUGAAUAAAAUGCGUAAGGGCCCCUCACCCACUCAACAAUCUGCCUUUUAAGGGGACAGACCAAAUCAUGUGUUCCUUUUCCUUCCCAGCACCUUGGAGAGCAGCUGCUCAGAGUGCCUGCUGAAUUGAAUAAAAUCCUUUGAAAGUGUUGUGUCGGCAACUUUGGUAACUGAAGAAGAAGGAUCUGUCUAGUCCUUCGAAUGUGACUUGUUGGGAAAGCUAACACCUGGAGUACUCUCUCUCAGUCGUGGGUUCCGGAUCAUGCAAGUGCAAAGGCCACACCUCACACAGUAGAUGUGUUGAUAGAAAAUGGGGAGACUGCCUAAGAUGCUUAAUGUCAGAGGAGUGGCACAAUAUCCUUCUGACACUUGAAAAUUGCAAAUUUGAGUUUCUUUCUCACCUGUCAGCUUUCCAGGACUACCUUGCACAGAUGGAAUCUGGGCUUUGCCCCCCGGCCCCCCAUCCCCGGAUAGAUUUCCCACUGUUCCAGAGCCAGGCAGCCCCUGUCUUAGAGAUUCAUCACGGGCACAGCAACACAAGUGUCUUAAGCAUUGGAGUUUCAGAGUGUUUCGUCAGGAACACAGUUACAAGUGAUUUAAAAAAGGGAAUAUUUUGGCUCAAGAACUGAAAAGAUGUGGGGCAGAAGUUGCUUCAGGCAUGGCUAGAUCCAGGGGACUCUGUUUGUCCCUGCUUAGCUUAUUUUUCAUACAGGCUCUCCCCAGGGGGUGGUUUUUGGGGGCAAGAUGGCCCCUGGAUGCCUCAGAAUCAUUCAUUUAAUUGUCCAAACAUUCCACUCACUGCAUUCCAGCCACUCAUUUUUUUUUCUGUUUCCUAAAUAAAUGAGGCAUACUCCUGUCAUAGGAUAUUUGCACUCUUCCAAGUGCCAGGAAAACCCUACCUCCUGUCUGUAGCUAGAAUCUCACUCCCCAACCUACAAAAGCUUUGUUCAAAUUCACCUUCUCAGUGAGGCUGAUUUAAAAUAGGAAUUCAUCUUCCCAGCAUCCCGGCCUUCUUGCUUUGCUGACUUCACCUCCAGAGCAAUUAUUACCUUCAAAUUUAUUCUGCUUGGUACUUACUUAUCACCUGUAUUGCCGUGUAGCCCACAGGAAUGUCUGUUUUGUUCACUGGUGUAUCCCAAGAACCCAGUAGAGUGCUAUCACAUAGUAGCUGCUCAAUUUUUCAGAUGAAUGAAUGAAGUGGAAAGAAAUUAAUUCAACAUUGGAAAAAUAGCAGUCAAGAAAACAAAGAAAAAAAACCCUCUGUCCCUUUGGAUCUUACUUUCUGGUGAGGAAGGCAGCCAAUCAAUGAGUAUUUAAAGAAGUAUUAAAUAUAUGGAUUUUCAGGUGGCAGUAAGGGCCGGGCAGGCAAACAGAGCAGAUGACCCCAGUCAAGAUGAGAUCUAGUUCCUUCCUGUUAUGGUAAGCACCUAACAAGAAUGGAGGUGAUUCUUACUUCUUCUGCUCUUUUAAUUUUACUCUUUUUGAAAUCGAGAGAGGACAAGCACACUGCUAUGACAGUAGUAAAGUUUCUCCCAGAAUUUCUUUAUAGGUUGGGUUUACUUUAUUUUCAUCCCCUUCUUGAUUCAGGAGCGGACGUGGGCAGCCAUCUGCCAGUCCACGUUCCCCUGUCAUUUCCCACUCACAUGAUGUAAAUGAAGAAAUAUGCAAACUGGCUGGAGCUGCUGAUGUUUGGAAGCCCGUCUUGGAGCCAGCUUGACCCAAACCAAUAAACAGGCUUUGACUUGCAUUGGCA